UACGUAGGGUGCGAGCGUUGUCCGGAAUUAUUGGGCGUAAAGAGCUCGUAGGCGGUUUGUCGCGUCUGCUGUGAAAACUCGGGGCUCAACUCCGAGCUUGCAGUGGGUACGGGCAGACUAGAGUGCGGUAGGGGAGACUGGAAUUCCUGGUGUAGCGGUGGAAUGCGCAGAGUAUCAGGAGGAACACCGGUGGCGAAGGCGGGUCUCUGGGCCGUAACUGACGCUGAGGAGCGAAAGCAUGGGGAGCGAACAGG
rnacentral:rRNA from 1 species